rnacentral:misc_RNA from 1 species
UUUUUUGUUCCUCUUUUUACCAGUUUUUGAAUUUCAGUACUCGAGCCAGGAUGUACAAGAUAACAUCGCACAUAUAUAAGUACAGUUGUAUAUCAUCUCAAGUGUCCAUGCCGUCUCUUUGUUUAGAUUCUUGUGUCCUCUCAGAUCAGUGCUAUGGCUUCAGUACUGUGCGGUAUAUACUAUGUGUUGUGGGAAGUUGUGUCGUUAUCUAGGUAUCAUAGAGCAAAUGUAUCCUAUUUACUUCUAAAUGUCUCAAUCAAAACGCAUCGUGUGGCAGGCUUCGGUUACAUAACAUACUUUAUCUGAUUAUUUUUUUGUUGGUUUUUUUUGUAACAAAAUAUGACAAACCCCUUCAUUUACCGGUACUACACACAGGGCCUGAAUCCCUGCUGUUUUACAAUAAUACAGUCAAACUCUGCUAACUCAAACUUUGUUUUCUUGCACAUUGGCUAAUAUGGAAUUGUUGAUGCAAGUUGGAUGUUCCAACCAUUCUAUAAAUUUUUAUUAACCUCUAUCUUGAAAUCCUUGGUCCAGUAAGUUAGAGUAACACGCUUUGACUUUAUUACUUAAUUUUGGACAAGGGACAUUGUUUGAAUUUUGAGUUCUUGAACUUUUAAAUCUUCACAACUAAUUCUAAGAUCAAGUGACCAUUUUUUAUAGCAAGGAGAGAACUGCUAAUAAUUAAUUUUUUCACCUUUGUUUUAUAUUGCUUUAAUUUAUUUAGACUUUGAAAUAGUGUACAGUGCCAUGUGAGUUUACAAUGAAUUAACAAAAAAAGGGGGGGAAAGAAAGCGAUUUCUUUAUAUCUUGAUUGGGAAAUACAUGUACAAUAACUAUACAAUCUAGUCAUUUUGGGGAUUAUUAAACACUUGUAUAUUUUCAAAGAACUUUUAAUGUUGAUAGAAAAGUUUUAAUCAACUGUAGUGUUGAAAAAUUUGAAAAUUAUUACUGGUAUAUUAAAUCAACAUAAUCCAAAUUAAGGCCACAUAUUCCUUUAUUUUUCAUUUUUUGCAAAGCAGCUGGUCUUUAUGUGCGGGUUUGAAUGUUGCUUUAGUUGAUCAUAAUUGAUGGCUCAAGAUGUUACCAUGACAACACUGGAAUAUUUUCUCCAGUAUUUUCCUUGUCUUGCCUCAGUGCGAGUUCUGUAAUACAACUUCCUCUCUGUGUAAGCCAUGCUAAGUCUUGCUGGUGAGCUUUUUGUAUUGUACAUGCAUUGUAAAUGUCUAUGUAUUUAAUACAAGAAGUACCCAUAUUCGGGGACAUUAUAGCAGGUUAAAGCCAUUAUGCAAUUUUCUGUCUUUUGUAAAUCUUUUUUAAUGAUUGAUUGGUAAGUUUGUGUGAGGUGGUAAUAUUGACAAUGAGUUGCAAUGUUGGUGCAGAAAAAUUUGAGAUUUAUUUACAUCAAACACAGUAUUAUAAAAUCCCGUAGGUGGCUCUAGCUAUAUGAUCAACACACGUGUCUUGAUGCUUCAAUAUUCUAGUGAAGAUAAGGGGGGUUUGGCUUACAGAGUAUUUUUUUUCCACACGUACAAGUUUCAUCUUUAAGGUUGCAUCAUCCCUCUGUCCACUUGCAUAUAAACAUUUUGCAUUUUCAAAAGCGAUGUAAAAUUUUAUUGAGAGUUAACUCCCCUAUUUAACAGGGAAAAUGCACUUUGAAGAAGACAACAUCUCUAUCUGCUACUGAAGUUCUUUUAUUGAUAGGCAGUUGUGCUUCACGUAAAUUUUUUAAUGCAAGAUGUAACAGAAUUACAUAACAUCCUCUAAACAUAAAAUUUAUUUUCCUGAAACUCACUUGGAUAGAGCACUUGCUUGGAUUUCAAGUGAGAGACAUGCCUGUAACAAGUAUUUACAGGAAGUGAAUUCCUUGUUUACUUUAUGUGAUGUGGUUCAAUGGCGUCUAGCCUUAAAAAAAGAAAUUCAUAUGCAAAUUCAUAUAUGAAAUUUUUUUAAUGUAAAAUGCUCUUUUUCACAAGAAAUUCAAGUGAGGCAUAAUUGGCUGCAUGAUACUGUACAAUACCAAAUCAAAAAUACUCAUCUGUUUAAAUGACAAGAGUUUGUCUUUUUCAUUUCUGUGACUGAUGAGAAAAAGACCAUAAAGUUUUAAUCCCAGUGUUGCCAACAGAUGGUUAAAUACAUCACAUCAUCUCAUUCAGAUUGAACAAAACACAAGAAUAAGUCUUGAGCCUCAAACUGAGUUCAUCAGUAUGUAACCUGUGCCAAGUUAUCAUGCAUUAGUCAAAGUGGAGAGCUUUUUCAAGCUUUAUAGGAUAUAUAUGUUCCAAUAUCUGCUUCAUUUUUAGACAAAUAGAGGUAUUCUUUAUGCAGACACAAACUUUUAUGUAAAAAUCAAAGAAGCCAAGGGAAUUUAGUUUUGUACACAAACUAUUUGAAAUGACUUGUACUGUUCAGUUCGUUCAGUUUUAGUCACACUACCCACCCCUCCCCCUCCGUACGUCCAGUUGAUCAAAUGUUUUGCAUAAUACACAGAAUCUGUCUCUUUUUGUCAUUUUUUUUUUGGUCAAACACUGAACAUUGCAAAAAAAGUUUUGUUUCAAGUGGGGAAAUCUUUAUUUUUAAUUUGUCAGUUUAUAUUUUAUGAAGUAUUUUUGUGUUAUAAGACGAUAUGUUAAGGAAGAAAUGUAUAGGGUUUGUGCAAUAAACAAUUGUGCAU